UUAAACACGAUAAAAAGGAAAGUAGAACUUACACUGCUUUUACAGAGAGUCUUCAUUUGCUGAAAGAAGAUAUUGAAAGAAAGUUUGAAAAUGGCCUUGGAGUGUUGGCAUCAAUAUGAGGUGUCACCGGGUUCGCCCGUUAUAGCGAUACAGUAUUAACAUGUUAUUAAAUGGCGUACUGGAAUUGUACUACUUUUCUAUGUCCCUAUUUUUAAUCAUGGCGUACUGGAAGAGGCUACUUCAGUGAUGACGUAGCAAAUUAAGGUGGUACCACGAACAAAGCUUUCGUCCUUUAU
rnacentral:ncRNA from 1 species